rnacentral:rRNA from 1 species
GAACGGGUGAGUAACAUAUCGGAACGUACCGAGUAGUGGGGGAUAACUGAUCGAAAGAUCAGCUAAUACCGCAUACGUCUUGAGAGGGAAAGCAGGGGACCUUCGGGCCUUGCGCUAUUCGAGCGGCCGAUAUCUGAUUAGCUAGUUGGUGGGGUAAAGGCCUACCAAGGCGACGAUCAGUAGCGGGUCUGAGAGGAUGAUCCGCCACACUGGGACUGAGACACGGCCCAG